rnacentral:rRNA from 1 species
UCCGGAGGGGGCUAGCGUUGUUCGGAAUUACUGGGCGUAAAGCGCACGUAGGCGGCUAUUCAAGUCGGGGGUGAAAGCCCGGGGCUCAACCCCGGAAUUGCCCUCGAAACUAGAUAGCUAGAAUCUUGGAGAGGCGAGUGGAAUUCCGAGUGUAGAGGUGAAAUUCGUAGAUAUUCGGAAGAACACCAGUGGCGAAGGCGACUCGCUGGACAAGUAUUGACGCUGAGGUGCGAAAGCGUGGGGAGCGAACAGG